rnacentral:tRNA from 1 species
AAUCUUAUAGUUUAAUCAAAACUUUAAAUUGCAAAUUUAAUAAUAACUUAGUUUAAGAUUU